rnacentral:tRNA from 1 species
CCUUCAGUAGCUCAACGGUAAGAGCAUGGAGACAACGAAUCUCUUCGUCGCUGGUUUGAUUCCAACCUGAAGGC